rnacentral:rRNA from 1 species
UAGAGUUUGAUCCUGGCUCAGAACGAACGCUGGCGGAGUGCUUAAUACAUGCAAGUCGAGCGGGAAAGUGCUGAUUUUUCGGUGCGAGUAUAGCGGCGAACGGGUGAGUAACACGUAAGCAACCUUCCCUUAAGUUCGGAAUAACCCUGCUAACGCGGGGCUAAUACCGGAGAUGUUCAUAAUCCGCAUGGGUAUUGAACUGAAGCGGCUUUUGUCGUGCUUAAGGAUGGGCUUGCGCCCCAUUAGUUAGUUGGUGAGGUAAUGGCUUACCAAGGCGAUGAUGGGUAGCCGGCCUUAGCGGGUGAUCGGCCACAUUGGGACUGAGAUACGGCCCAGACUCCUACGGGAGGCAGCAGUAGGGAAUUUUGCGCAAUGGACGAAAGUCUGACGCAGCAACUCCGCGUGAGGGAUGACGGUCUUCGGAUUGUAAACCUCUGUUGACAGGGAAGAACCCUGAGUUUAACAAGCUCAGCUGACGGUACCUGUCGAGGAAGCCCCGGCUAAAUACGUGCCAGCAGCCGCGGUAAUACGUAUGGGGCGAGCGUUGUUCGGAAUCACUGGGCGUAAAGGGAACGUAGGCUGGUAUAUAAGUUAGGAGUAUAAGGCGGCGGCUUAACCGACGAUUUGCUCUUAAAACUGUAUACCUUGAGUAUGGGAAAGGAGAACGGAAUUCCGAGUGUAGCGGUGGAAUGCGUAGAUAUUCGGAAGAACACCAGUAGCGAAGGCGGUUCUCUGGCCCAAUACUGACGCUGAUGUUCAAAAGCAGGGGGAGCGAACAGGAUUAGAUACCCUGGUAGUCCCUGCCGUAAACGAUGGAUACUAGUUGUGGGUACUGUUAUGGUAUCUGUGACGCAGCUAACGCAUUAAGUAUCCCGCCUGGGGAGUACGCUUGCAGAGUGAACUCAAAGGAUUGACGGGGCCGCCAAGCGGCGGAGCAU